rnacentral:miRNA from 1 species
GGGUUGAUUUGAGAACAUAUG